rnacentral:lncRNA from 10 species
UUCUGACUUACUAGAGGCAUUUUGAGUCAGCCAUUAAAGUAGCAUGGGAGACACUUACUAUUUAGUAGCCACUCAUGCUUUUCUGUGGGGCAUGUAACUAGGGUGAAGCUAACCCAGCCCUUAGCUUUCGGGGGUGGAUCGUUCGGCCAAAUCCUGGCCCCUCAGUGAAUUCUUGGCCAUUAGAUUGGUGCAAGGAUGGGCCCCUGGCCCCAUCUAGGCCCACUAGAUACCUGGGACUCAAUAUGAGUUGUUGGGGAAGAAGCCUGUUUCCCCUCAGGGCUUGAGGUUCUGAGAAUGUGAAGCUGGAGCCGUGGCAGCCCUGUUGGUAUCAUGAGGACAACAUUUCAGCUGUCCAAGGCCAAACUAUCCCUGGAUUUUUAAUUCUGUGAAACAAUAACUUCCCUUUUUGCCCAAGUCAGCCCGAGUCAGUUUCUGUCACUUGCCAUAUAACCAUAUUUAAGCCACCAGUUCUUAU